rnacentral:misc_RNA from 1 species
GAUUUCAACAUUGAAGAGCUAUCAUACAGCUUACAACAGUUUCAACUAUCUAGCCGGAAUCUAGCUAUCAAUUGAGGCAUGACAUACGAUUUCGAAACACACGAGAGCCUCUCAAUUAAAUUAGACCAAAUCAAAUCAGUAGAUAUCUCUACAAAAAUAUACAGCUAACCCUGCCGGAAAAAAACCAUUAUGGUACAUUAUCUACGAGAUCUCAAGAACACAAAGAUUCUGUCCCAUAAAAUUGAGAUGGCAGGCAACACUUGACGAACUUUCCUUUCUUUCCACUUGUAAUCAGACAUGAGCUGACGACUGCAAUAUAAAUGUUCAAGGUGUUUCUCGGCAAACACAAAGCAUCUUAUAAUGCAAGUUCACUGGGAAAUGCCUCCAAAAAAUACCUAGAAUUCCAUAGAUCCACUCUUCAGCCUCUCCAUUCGUGCCUGGAGCCCUGAAAGUGCCUUCUCAUCCAUGGGAAGAACCCCACUCUGAAUGGUAUUUUCAACACUAGAAUGUUCAGUGCCAGGACCGUGAUUUGACACCACGUGACUGAUGUUACCAUUCAUGGACAUCAGUGGUCUAUUACUUGGGUCCGCAUUCCCCACGGUAGUAGCUAAUGAAAUACUUUUCAUUCUUUCGCGGAUCGCUUCUAGUGUUCCACUAGUAACUCCAGAAGGCAAUCUAUCAUUUCUCUGCAACUCCAAAUGUUCAGAUGAUAGUCCUCUUGAGGGGAGAGCAUUACCACCUCUAUCAUCUUCGCCAUACGACGGUGGCAAACUAAAGUGUGAUGGUUCAAUUUUAUUGUUUACAGAUUUUGCAUCAUUCAAUGGGUUGGUAUUUACAGGAGAUAAAGGACCAAAUUUGGGAGAAGACAGGUUUAGUGAAGACGGAGGAGGAGUUGGCAUGGGUACACUAGAAGGAGUCCUUCCAGCCGCAGCAUUCUUUUCCAUCUGGGCUAGACCAUCUCUAAUAUAUGUUCGGAAU